rnacentral:rRNA from 1 species
GGAUAGGCUUCGCGGCGCUCCCUACACGACACGUCAUGUAGGUCGUCGCGUUGUCCUUGUACGCCGACUCAAUCCUACCGCGGUGCUCUUUACCGAGUGUCGAGGUAGGCCGGCACAUUUUACUUUGAACAAAUUAGAGUGCUUAAAGCAGGCUCUUAAAUCAGCCUGAAUAGUGGUGCAUGGAAUAAUGGAACAGGACCUUGGUUCUAUUUUGUUGGUUUUAGGAAUCCAAGGUAAUGAUCAAUAAGGACAGGCGGGGGCAUUCGUAUUGCGACGUUAGAGGUGAAAUUCUUGGAUCGUCGCAAGACGCACUAGAGCGAAAGCAUUUGCCAAGUAUGUCUUAAUUGAUCAAGAACGAAAGUUAGAGGUUCGAAGGCGAUCA